rnacentral:lncRNA from 1 species
GUAGGAGUAGCAAUUGAAUGGCAAAAAUGGAAACGAUAGUGGUAGCAACAACUGUGCUUAGGGAUAUGGUGGAGGUGACGACGAUGGUAACGGUUGAGGCAGUGGCAAUGAUUUUAGUGUUGAGGUGCCCACUAUACGGUGUAGGUGCCAAUAAUGACAGUGGAAGUAUGGUGAUAGUGGCAAUGGUAGAGGAGAAAGUGUUAGCAAUAUGGCAAAUAUAGUAAUUAUGGUGAUAGUGGUGGGGUAGCGGUGGUGUUGGGGUGGUAUGGUGGAGACAAUGGCUAUGAUGGUGACGGAAAUGAUGGUGCUAGUGGAGGUAGAUUUGGUGAUGGUGUUGAUAAAAAAUAUGCUUUUCUUUUUUUCGAAAUUAUUGCAAGUAACGAUCUCUUGCUACUAUUUUUCUAGAAAUAAGGAAACUGACUUUUGCAAAAUAAAAAAUAAAAAAUAAUAGCAAAUCCACCGGUCUGGAAGAAUUUGACCUCCACAUCUAGGAGUCACAAAUCCACAAGACACUCCUAACAGCACACCU